rnacentral:rRNA from 1 species
UACGUAGGGGGCAAGCGUUGUCCGGAUUUAUUGGGCGUAAAGAGCGUGUAGGCGGCCAUACAGGUCAGCUGUGAAAACUCGAGGCUCAACCUCGAGACGUCGGUUGAAACCGUAUGGCUAGAGUCCGGAAGAGGAGAGUGGAAUUCCCGGUGUAGCGGUGAAAUGCGCAGAUAUCGGGAAGAACACCCGUGGCGAAGGCGGCUCUCUGGGACGGUACUGACGCUGAGACGUGAAAGCGUGGGGAGCGAACAGG